rnacentral:tRNA from 1 species
CUCUGACUGGCUCAGGUGGUAAAGCAUGAGACUCUUGAUCUCGGGGUUGUGAGUUCAAAUCCCACGUUGGGUG